rnacentral:rRNA from 1 species
CUGCCGGUGAUAAACCGGAGGAAGGUGGGGAUGACGUCAAGUCAUCAUGGCCCUUACGAGUAGGGCUACACACGUGCUACAAUGGCAGAUACAAAGUGAAGCGAACUCGCGAGAGCAAGCGGACCACAUAAAGUCUGUCGUAGUCCGGAUUGGAGUCUGCAACUCGACUCCAUGAAGUCGGAAUCGCUAGUAAUCGUAGAUCAGAAUGCUACGGUGAAUACGUUCCCGGGCCUUGUACACACCGCCCGUCACACCAUGGGAGUGGGUUGCAAAAGAAGUAGGUAGCUUAACCUUCGGGAGGGCGCUUACCACUUUGUGAUUCAUGACUGGGGUGAAGUCGUAACAAGGUAACCGUAGGGGAACCUGCGGUUGGAUCACCUCCU